rnacentral:rRNA from 1 species
UACAGAGGUCCCGAGCGUUGUUCGGAUUCACUGGGCGUAAAGGGUGCGUAGGUGGGCAAGUAAGUCAGUGGUGAAAUCUCCGGGCUUAACCCGGAAACUGCCAUUGAUACUAUUUGUCUUGAAUACUGUGGAGGUCAGCGGAAUAUGUCAUGUAGCGGUGAAAUGCUUAGAUAUGACAUAGAACACCAAUUGCGAAGGCAGCUGGCUACACAAAUAUUGACACUGAGGCACGAAAGCGUGGGGAUCAAACAGG